rnacentral:rRNA from 1 species
UCCAUGUACACUGGCGGCGUGCUAACCAUGCAAGUCCGACGGAGAUACAGGGAAUAAGGAUUCGUCCAAAGGAACUGUAUCUUAGUGGCGGACGGGUGAGUAACGCGUGGAGAACCUGCCUCCUGCUGGGGGAUAGCAGCUGGAAACGGCUGGUAAUACCGCAUGAGCGCACACCGGCGCAUGCCGGAGUGCGGAAAGAUUUAUCGGCAGGAGAUGGCUCCGCGUCUGAUUAGCCAGUUGGCGGGGUAACGGCCCACCAAAGCGACGAUCAGUAGCCGGCCUGAGAGGGCGGACGGCCACAUUGGGACUGAGACACGGCCCAGACUCCUACGGGAGGCAGCAGUGGAGGAUAUUGCACAAUGGGGGGAACCCUGAUGCAGCGACGCCGCGUGAGUGAAGAAGUGUUUCGACAUGUAAAGCUCUAUCAGCAGGGAAGAAAGGCCCGAAAGGGAGAUGACGGUACCUGACUAAGAAGCCCCGGCUAACUACGUGCCAGCAGCCGCGGUAAU